GAUCACAGCUCAGUGCAAGAGCCUCCACCUUGCAUGCAGAAGGUCCCAGGUUCAACCCCUGGCAGCUCCA